rnacentral:lncRNA from 10 species
AGGCUGGACCCAGCCAGCCUCAAGGAGGGAAGAGAGGGACAUCAUGGUGGCGCUGGACUCCCUGCAGGGCUCAGCGGCUCCCUCAGGACAAGGAGAAAGCUGGGAACCCUAAGACAGAACUGGAGGUUCUCGUUGCCUAAAUCUCUCCUGGCUUGCUGCACAUGGAACCCAUUUCUUCCCAUUCAGGGCUCUGCAGAGGCAGAAGAUGAACAGUAAGAUGCAAAGAUCUGGCAACCUUCAGAGCUGGGUCCCUGGGGCCUCUGCAGAACCACCCAGAAGCCCCAAAUUGUGACAUCACCAGUUCAACAGCCUUCCCCACUCCCAUCACUUCCUGAAACAGCCAGAGCGAGAAGAUGAUGCAUGUGAGCCCUGCCCUUGGGAAGCUUCCAGGUUGGGAAAUGAGGAAUGAGCCUGACACCCAGGGCCCAGAGAGACCCAGGACAGAGGCAGGUCAGGAGGCAGACACGCGCUGCUGGGUAAUGACGACAGCACCAGUAAUCACGGCUACUCCUUGUUAAGUACUUACUAAGUGCAAGACUCCAAGCUAAGCAAUUAAUAGACCUUUUCUUGUUUAAUCCUUACCACAAUUCCAUAGGAUGUUCUCACAGAGCUACACAUGCCACAGUCAUCACUAGUUGCGAGAGUCUCCAGUGUUCAUUAAGCCUAUUUUGCUGGAAGUUUAGUCCCUGGAGGAUUAGUCCCUGCCCUUAAGGAGUGCCAAAGAAGACUUUGGAAUCUAAGUCACAUCUCCCCUGCUGCAAUUUUUUCCUCUUGAUAAUCAAGGAAUCUCACUGAUAAAACUCUCAAUGAGGAGCAGCUCUCCCCAUGAGCAAGUUCUUGCCUUCAUUGCCAGGGAGGCCCCAGCUAAGGUUAUACUGGGAAAGGAAUCUCUGGGGAGUACCUGGAAGAGGUCAGCUUCUCCUCAAAGGAAGCCUCUCCAGCUGGUGUACUGCAAAGCCUUCCAAGACCAAGUUCCCUCUUCCUGGCCUCUGGAACCAGCCUGUGUGCCAGCGCUGUGUCCCCAGUAACACACAUGAGUCUCUCCCUCAGAAGCCACAGAAGGAUGCAGAGAGAGACCAACCCAGGAUUGAUUCUCAGCACUUACUAAUUGUGUGGACAUAACUGCUCUGGACCUCAGCUUUGCUAUCUAUAAAAUGAGCACCCUUUUUAUAGAUAUGAACACUUUAAGAGAGUCAUAAAGAUUGAAGUUGAUUUGUGCU